rnacentral:rRNA from 1 species
GACGAACGCUGGCGGCGUGCCUAAUACAUGCAAGUAGAACGCUGAAGAGAGGAGCUUGCUCUUCUUGGAUGAGUUGCGAACGGGUGAGUAACGCGUAGGUAACCUGCCUGGUAGCGGGGGAUAACUAUUGGAAACGAUAGCUAAUACCGCAUAACAACAGUUGUUGCAUGACAGCUGUUUAAAAGAUGCAAUUGCAUCACUACCAGAUGGACCUGCGUUGUAUUAGCUAGUUGGUGAGGUAACGGCUCACCAAGGCGACGAUACAUAGCCGACCUGAGAGGGUGAUCGGCCACACUGGGACUGAGACACGGCCCAGACUCCUACGGGAGGCAGCAGUAGGGAAUCUUCGGCAAUGGGGGGAACCCUGACCGAGCAACGCCGCGUGAGUGAAGAAGGUUGUCGGAUCGUAAAGCUCGGUUGUAAGAGAAGAACGGGUGUGAGAGUGGAAAGUUCACACUGUGACGGUAUCUUACCAGAAAGGGACGGCUAACUACGUG